AUUUUGUCUCUCCAUCUCCACUGCAACCAAUCUGUAGAGUAAUCAAUUGUCCGUUUUGGUUUGAUUGAUGGCUUCCACUCCAUUUAUUUAUAAAUCUCUUCUUUCAUGUUUUUUUUUCAAUCAAAACUCUCUCAAUUUGUUCUCGCGAUGAAGUCGAACGGGAAAGCCUUAGUCUCCGACGAUCCGAUUGUGAAGAAACCAAACGGCAAGGAUGUUGUCUCCUCCACCGUUCUGGAUCAACCAACCAGUAAAAACGCCGUCUCCUCCGCCAAGGUCCAUAAGGUGAUGCCCGCCGUCUCCUCCGCUGUACCGAUCCAAGCAAGCAGAUCAACCGCCGUCUCCUCCGUCAAGGUUGAUAAGGUGAUGUUUUUCUUCCACUGUUCUUCGUCUAAUUCGUUGUUGAUAUCAAACCCAUUCUCUCUCUCUCUUAUAUAUAUAUAUAUAUAUCUUAUCUAUCACUACGAGUUUUCUCUGGUCAGUGGUGAUGUCCGUGCGGAAGAGAGAGCAUACGAUUUCUUUUUUGGCUUUCUUCUGUGAUAGUGGAAUUGUGUUUGUUGAUGGUGAAGUGUUUGUUCUGGGUUUUGUUUUUAAGGACUCAAGAUUGUGUCUAUGUGUGGAUUUGGUUUUGUCUGAGAAAGAUAUGAGAUUAGGAGUAGACCGUAGAGAUUGAGUAUGAAGAAUCAAUCUUUAGACGCUUUUGGUGAUAUGGUUGAAACUAUAUUUUUUUUUUUUGGACUCUGUUGAAACUUGAAACUAAUUAAAGGAGAGUUUUUUGUUUGUUUCAAAUGUGUUGAUGGAGCACAUUCUAUCUAGGUAUGAAUACAACUGCUAAGACUGAACAACAACUUCUACUUUGUUCUUCUCAAGAUAAUGGUGAUGUGGUAUGUGUAUCUAUUAUCUACAAGCAGUGAAUAAAGGGGGAUAGAACCAAUGAGGAGAGCCAGUUGAUGUGGUGACAAAGCCAGGACAUGCUGCUCUUUUGAUCAAAUUAUGAUACACAACAAAUAUUAUUACGUCACAUGAUCAGAGAAACAAUAGCUCACAUAUGAGAACUGAUACAUAGAGAAAUGUCUCACCAAUGGAUUUUGGAGGCUCUCCUUCUGCACAUGUUAAUCUUGGCAACUGGUUUUAUUCCUCAUCUCCUGCAACUAUAUUUUUAUGACUGUAUUAGAUCAUAUUACUACCAAUCUUCUUCCUAAGAAUGGCUUUAUUUUUGUUCAAGAAAUGUUCUUAUAUGUGUUUCUAUUUUAUGUUUUCAUUUUAGGUUCCAGAAAAUUGUUCCUCUUAACGCAUGUUACACUAAAACAGUUUAAAUGCAACUUUUUAAUGUA